GUUUCUGUGGCGCAAUCGGUUAGCGCGUUCGGCUGUUAACCAAAAGGUUGCAUGAUGGUUCAAAUCCAUCCAGAAACG